AGUCGAACGGCAGCACGGACUUCGGUCUGGUGGCGAGUGGCGAACGGGUGAGUAAUGUAUCGGAACGUGCCUAGUAGCGGGGGAUAACUACGCGAAAGCGUAGCUAAUACCGCAUACGCCCUACGGGGGAAAGCAGGGGAUCGCAAGACCUUGCACUAUUAGAGCGGCCGAUAUCGGAUUAGCUAGUUGGUGGGGUAACGGCUCACCAAGGCGACGAUCCGUAGCUGGUUUGAGAGGACGACCAGCCACACUGGGACUGAGACACGGCCCAGACUCCUACGGGAGGCAGCAGUGGGGAAUUUUGGACAAUGGGGGAAACCCUGAUCCAGCCAUCCCGCGUGUGCGAUGAAGGCCUUCGGGUUGUAAAGCACUUUUGGCAGGAAAGAAACGUCAUGGGCUAAUACCCCGUGAAACUGACGGUACCUGCAGAAUAAGCACCGGCU
rnacentral:rRNA from 1 species